AGUUACCAGCACGGUUAUGGUGGGCACUCUAAGGAGACUGCCGGUGACGAAACCGGAGGAAGGUGGGGAUGACGUCAAGUCAUCAUGGCCCUUACGGCCUGGGCUACACACGUGCUACAAUGGUCGGUACAAAGGGUUGCCAAGCCGCGAGGUGGAGCUAAUCCCAAUAAAACCGAUCGUAGUCCGGAUCGCAGUCUGCAACUCGACUGCGUGAAGUCGGAAUCGCUAGUAAUCGUGAAUCAGAAUGUCACGGUGAAUACGUUCCCGGGCCUU
rnacentral:rRNA from 1 species